rnacentral:rRNA from 1 species
UACGUAGGGUGCAAGCGUUGUCCGGAAUUAUUGGGCGUAAAGAGCUCGUAGGCGGUUUGUCGCGUCUGCUGUGAAAACUCGGGGCUUAACCCCGGGCCUGCAGUGGGUGACGGGCAGACUAGAGUUCGGUAGGGGAGACUGGAAUUCCUGGUGUAGCGGUGAAAUGCGCAGAUAUCAGGAGGAACACCGGUGGCGAAGGCGGGUCUCUGGGCCGAUACUGACGCUGAGGAGCGAAAGCGUGGGGAGCGAACAGG